UGAGUACGAGAUGCUACGGCGUCGAAGCAGUCUAUGUCAUACUUCCAAGAAAAGCUUGCACUGUCAUAAACAAAUAAUGCCUGUACCAUAACCGACACAGGUGGGUAGGUAGAGUAUACUAAGGGGCGCGAGAUAACUCUCUCUAAGGAACUCGGCAAAGUGACUCCGUAACUUCGGGAGAAGGAGUGCCUUAUUCUUAAGGUUGCAAUAACAAGAUCCAAGCAACUGUUUAUCAAAAACACAGGUCUCCGCUAAGUCGUAAGACGAUGUAUGGGGGCUGACGCCUGCCCAGUGCCAGAAGGUUAAAGAAGUUGGUUAGCAUUCGCGAAGCUGAUAACUGAAGCCCUGGUGAACGGCGGCCGUAACAAUAACGGUCCUAAGGUAGCGAAAUUCCUUGUCGGGUAAGUUCCGACCCGCACGAAAGGCGUAAUGAUUUGGAUACUGUCUCGGAGAGGGGCUCGGUGAAAUAGACUUGUCUGUGAAGAUGCGGACUACCUGCACCUGGACAGAAAGACCCUAUGAAGCUUUACUGUAACUUGAAAUUGAAAUUGGACUUUAUUUGCGCAGUAUAGGUGGGAGGCGUUGAGAAUAUUCUUGCGGGAAUAUUGGAGCCAUCAGUGAGAUACCACUCUUGUAAUGUUAGAUUUCUAACUUUGAAUCAUUAUCUGGUCAAAGGACAGUUUCAGGCGGGCAGUUUGACUGGGGCGGUCGCCUCCUAAAUGGUAACGGAGGCGCACAAAGGUUUCCUCUGAACGGGUAGAAAUCGUAUCUAGAGUGUAAAGGCAUAAGGAAGCUUGACUGUGAGACCUACAAGUCGAGCAGGGACGAAAGUCGGUCUUAGUGAUCUGACGGUGCUGAGUGGAAAGGCCGUCACUCAACGGAUAAAAGUUACUCUAGGAUAACAGGCUGAUCUCCCCCAAGAGUUCACAUCGACGGGGAGGUUUGGCACCUCGAUGUCGGCUCAUCGCAUCCUGGGGCGGUAGUACGUCCCAAGGGUUGGGCUGUUCGCCCAUGAAAGCGGUACGCGAGCUGGGUUCAGAACGUCGUGAGACAGUUCGGUCCAUAUCCGGUGUAGGCGUUAGAAUAUUGAGAGGAGCCUUCUUUAGUACGAGAGGACCGAGAAGGACAUACCUCUGGUGUACCAGUUAUCGUGCCAACGGUAAACGCUGGGUAGCUAUGUAUGGAGAGGAUAACCGCUGAAAGCAUCUAAGUGGGAAGCCCACCUCAAGAUAAG
rnacentral:rRNA from 1 species